rnacentral:rRNA from 1 species
GACGAACGCUGGCGGCGCGCUUAACACAUGCAAGUCGAGCGAAGCGGAGGACGGGUGAGUAACACGUGAGUAACCUGCCUAAGACAUUGGGAUAGCCUCGGGAAACCGUGAUUAAUACCAAAUAGUCUAAGAUUGACUCGCGUCCCAUUAGCUAGUUGGUUAGUAAAAGCCUACCAAGGCGACCCUGGGUAGCCGGAAUGUGAGGGUGAACGGGCACCUUGGAACUGAGAGACGGUCCGAACGCUACGGGAGGCAGCAGUGGUGAAUAGUGAACAAUGGAUGAAAGUCUGAUGCUGCGACGUCGCGUGAACGAAGAAGGCUUUAGGGUCGUAAAUUUCUUUGAUAUGGGAAGCGGUACCAAAAGAAAAAGCCCCGGCUAACUACGUGCCAGCAGCCGCGGUAAUUC